UUAGAACAGGAACCGGAAAUUUUUAAAACAGGAAAUACGUCAUGGAUGUAAACAAAAAUGGUCGAUUUAUUAUUUCGCUCACCAUUAGAAGCUGGGCGUUUGCUUCAUUUUUCACCUCGUCGGGUUCUUUUCUGCUUUUCGGCCGUCGGAGCAGGGACGUCCCCGGAAGAGAGGAGGGCUGGCUGGGGCUGAGGUUGUUGAGACGAUGGAGGACGGCGCACUGAGAUGGAUGCAACAGAACCAGGAGCAGGAGGAGCUAACCUGGUAGCGGGACCAGAACCGCUACCGGACGCACCUGACCUGGGGUCUUAAAGACGGUGAUUCUGCAGUUGCGGUUUCACUGAGGAGGCAGACAUGGAGGAGGAGGCAGUGGAGUUCCAGAGGUAUGGAUCAGAUGUUCCAGAUUGUUUCUUUGCAGAAGGAUUUCUAGAGAGGCGAGAGUGACAGGUCUGAGGAGAUGACAUUAGCCAGCUGAUUGAUCCAGCAUGUUGCUGGCAUGGAAGAGGAUCAUGAGGAGGUUCCAACCAGGAAACAAAACAAACUUGUGGCUGUACCAAUCAGUACCAAGAAUGACUGAAUGUUCCAAGAAGGGAUGGAGCUCUCCCCUCAGCUUGAAAACCAGCUGGGCCUCAUCACCAGAUCAGGAACAGGUUCCUGUGAUCAUCACCUGCACCUGUUGUGGAGUUCCUGAUGAGCUGCUGGGCUUCAUAAGCUGUCUACACUGUUUGGUCUGUGCUGAUGAUUCUAACAUUUAUGUUGCUCAAACUGGCCAUCCAGGAAAAAGCCCACAGCCUUUGAACCAAGUUUGGAACCAAACAUCAAAGUGUUGCUCUAAGGAUUUAAAGCCACUCUGCCUGAAGAAACUUACCUCUUGGAUCACCUCCUCC